rnacentral:lncRNA from 1 species
AGUUCCUCCUCACUUCUAGGCACCAUAUUAUUCUUAAACAGAGAUCUUUGAUUAGUGCAAUUUAAGAAAUCAGCGAUCAAAAUGUUAAGUCUCAUAGUCCGAAAGAAGAGGGAGGGGAAGAUGUCCUUGAGAGCUAAGUUGAUAUACCAAUUGUCGAACCAAAAUGUAAUGUGUCGGCUAUUUUCUAACUUGAAUGAAGUAGCUACCAGGAAAUGAUCCAAUGUUUUGAUCGUAUUGCACCAAGAUUUAGAUACUUUUUUGAGAUGACUAAAAGGGGUGGUA